rnacentral:rRNA from 1 species
GUAGUCUUGGCCAUAAACGAUGUUCACUAGGUGUUGGGGCUUUGCCUCGGUGCCGCAGCUAACGCAUUAAGUGAACCGCCUGGGAACUACGAUCGCAAGAUUAAAACUCAAAGGAAUUGGCGGGGGCCCGCACAAGCGGUGGAGCAUGUGGCUUAAUUCGAUGCAACGCGAAGAACCUUACCAGGGCUUGACAUGGAUCUGCAAGCUACCGAAAAGUAGUCGCCUUCGAGGGUGAUUCACAGGUGGUGCAUGGCUGUCGUCAGCUCGUGUUGUGAAAUGUUGGGUUAAGUCCCGCAACGAGCGCAACCCUCAUGUUCUGUUACCAGCGAGUAACGUCGGGGACUCGGAACAAACUGCCGCUGUAAAGCGGA